rnacentral:tRNA from 2 species
AGGAGUGUAGCUCAAUUGGUAGAGCGCUGGUCUCCAAAACCAGAGGUUGUAGGUUCAACUCCUAUCGCUCCUG